CUACGGAGGGUGCGAGCGUUAAUCGGAAUUACUGGGCGUAAAGCGUACGUAGGCGGUUGGUUAAGUUAGAUGUGAAAGCCCCGGGCUUAACCUGGGAACUGCAUUUAAAACUGGCGAACUAGAGUUGAGUAGAGGGGAGUGGAAUUUCAGGUGUAGCGGUGAAAUGCGUAGAGAUCUGAAGGAACACCAGUGGCGAAGGCGACUCCCUGGACUCGAACUGACGCUGAGGUACGAAAGCGUGGGUAGCAAACGGGAUUAGAAACCCCAGUAGUCC
rnacentral:rRNA from 1 species